AUUAUGGAGCUCAGAGAAGUAGUCAGGGCUGACUCUUAGAAAUGGCAGCUCUCCUGUUUACCUGUAAUCAUUUCAGUUGGAAUUACAAAGCAGGUCAGCUGAAAAGAGUCAGCCUGUGAAGCAUUGUAUUUAACUUGGAUUCACCUGGAAAGAUAGAAGUGGAUUCUGUGAUGUCUUCAAUAAAUCCAAAUACUUCUGGUUUAUUGCAGUUUCUAAGUUGAGCUCACUGUGAUAGCCAGAUGCUAGACUCCUUCAUUUUCAAGAGGAUUUCUCUGUGUGCACUGACCCUGAAGCUUAGAACUGUGAACCACAAAAAACUAUACUUAAUGGAACUUUCAAGUAAAAAAUUUAUAUAGUUU
rnacentral:lncRNA from 1 species